rnacentral:rRNA from 1 species
AGAGUUUGAUCCUGGCUCAGGAUGAACGCUGGCGGCGUGCUUAACACAUGCAAGUCGAGCGAAGCGCUUUAACGGAAUUCUUCGGAAGGAAGAUAAAGUGACUGAGCGGCGGACGGGUGAGUAACGCGUGGGUAACCUGCCUCACACAGGGGGAUAACAGUUAGAAAUGACUGCUAAUACCGCAUAAGACCACAGCACUGCAUGGUGCAGGGGUAAAAACUCCGGUGGUGUGAGAUGGACCCGCGUCUGAUUAGGUAGUUGGUGAGGUAACGGCUCACCAAGCCGACGAUCAGUAGCCGACCUGAGAGGGUGACCGGCCACAUUGGGACUGAGACACGGCCCAAACUCCUACGGGAGGCAGCAGUGGGGAAUAUUGCACAAUGGGCGAAAGCCUGAUGCAGCGACGCCGCGUGAAGGAAGAAGUAUUUCGGUAUGUAAACUUCUAUCAGCAGGGAAGAAAAUGACGGUACCUGACUAAGAAGCCCCGGCUAACUACGUGCCAGCAGUCGCGGUAAUACGUAGGGGGCAAGCGUUAUCCGGAUUUACUGGGUGUAAAGGGAGCGUAGACGGCUCUGUAAGUCUGGAGUGAAAACCCGGGGCUCAACCCCGGGACUGCUUUGGAAACUAUGGAGCUAGAGUGUCGGAGAGGUAAGUGGAAUUCCUAGUGUAGCGGUGAAAUGCGUAGAUAUUAGGAGGAACACCAGUGGCGAAGGCGGCUUACUGGACGAUGACUGACGUUGAGGCUCGAAAGCGUGGGGAGCAAACAGGAUUAGAUACCCUGGUAGUCCACGCCGUAAACGAUGACUACUAGCUGUUGGGCGGCAUAGCCGGUUCGGUGGGCGCAGCAAACGCAAUAAGUAGUCCACCUGGGGAGUGCGUUGGCAAGAAUGAAACCCAAAAGGAAUUGACGGGGGCCCGCACAAGCAGUGGAGUAUGUGGUUUAAUUCGAAGCAACGCGAAGAACCUUACCAGGUCUUGACAUCCUAGGAAUCCUGUAGAGAUACGGGAGUGCCUUCGGGAACCUAGAGACAGGUGGUGCAUGGUUGUCGUCAGCUCGUGUCGUGAGAUGUUGGGUUAAGUCCCGCAACGAGCGCAACCCCUAUUGCUAGUUGCUACGCAAGAGCACUCUAGCGAGACUGCCGUUGACAAAACGGAGGAAGGUGGGGAUGACGUCAAAUCAUCAUGCCCCUUAUGACCUGGGCUACACACGUACUACAAUGGCAAUUAACAGAGGGAAGCAAAACAGUGAUGUAGAGCAAAUCCCCAAAAAUUGUCCCAGUUCAGAUUGUAGGCUGCAACUCGCCUACAUGAAGUCGGAAUUGCUAGUAAUCGCAGAUCAGCAUGCUGCGGUGAAUACGUUCCCGGGCCUUGCACUCACAGCCCGUCA